GACGAGAGGAGCCAAGCGUUGUCCGGACUGACGUGGGCGUAAAGCGCACGCAGGGCGGCGCUGCGCGUGGGGUCGUGAAAGGCUCUUGGCUUAACUGAGAGAGGCCAUCCCAUACGGCAGUGCUCGAGCGGUGCAGAGGUCCGCGGAAUUGCCGGUGUAGUGGUGAAAUGCGCAGAUAUCGGGAAGAACACCCGUGGCGAAGGCGGCUCUCUGGGACGGUACUGACGCUGAGACGCGAAAGCGUGGGGAGCGAACAGG
rnacentral:rRNA from 1 species